rnacentral:lncRNA from 1 species
GUCUCUCUGGAGGCCAGGGUCUCUCCUGGGGUAGGGGUCUCUCUGUGGGGGGUAGACAGCAUCUUUCCUGGGCCUAGGGUCUCCCAGGGCCUCUCCCUGGGGUCCCGGGUCUCUCCUGGGGCCGGGGUCUCUCCUGGGGCCGGGGUCUCUCUGUCUGGUGGGACAGGGUCUUUCCUGGGGCUAGGGGCUCUCCUGGGGCCGAGGUCUCUCUGUCUGGGGGGGACAGGAUCUCUCCCUGGGGUCCCGGGUCUCUCAGUCUGGGGGGACAGGGUCUUUCCUGGGGCUAGGGUCUCUGCUGGGGGUCCCAGGUCUCUCCUAGGGCCAGGAUCUCUCUCUCUCUCUCCCCCAGGGUCUAGAGUUUCUCCUGGGGCCAGGGUCUCUCUCUCUCUGGGGGUCCCGGGUCUCUCCUGGGGCCAGGGUCUCUCUCUCUGGGGAUCCCAGGUCUCUCCUGGAGCCAGGGUCUCUCUCUUUCUGGGGAUCCCAGGUCUCUCCUGGGGCCAGGGUCUCUCUCUCUCUCUGGGGAUCCCAAGUCUCUCCUGGGGCCGGGGUCUCUCUCUCUCUCUCUCUCUCUCUCUCUCUGGGGAUCCCAGGUCUCUCCUAGGGCCAGGGUCUCUCUCUCUCUCUGGGGGUCCCGGGUCUCUCCUGGGGCCGGGGUCUCUCUCUCUCUGGGCCCUGGACUCCCCCCUCGGGCUCACCUGGGGCCUGCCGGGGGUCGCUUUCCCCUUCCGCUCCCUCCCUCGCCGCCCCGUGCUGCGGCUCCUCCCCCUCCUCGUCCUCGUCCUCCUCCGCGGCCGGGGUCGGAGCCGAGGCUGGGCCGGGCCAGGCCGGGGUCGGGGGCGCGGCCUGCGGGUCCCUCCCGAUCCCCGGCCUCGCGUAGCGGCGGCGGCGGCGGCGGCGGCGGCGGCGGCGGCGGCGGGUCCCGGGCGGGGCCUGGGGGUCCGGCUGGCUCCGGGCCGGGGAGGGGGGGCGGCGUCGGCGGGAGCAGGGGCGGAGGCGGGGGCGGAGGGCGAGGGCGAGCGUGCGAGGCGAGCGUGA